rnacentral:lncRNA from 1 species
UUCUGGUCUGGAUUCUUUUAUUUCAGUGCUUAUAUGCUGAUACACAAGAGCAAUAAGAAAAGGCUGGGCAUUUUGAAUAUUGCUGCAGGGCUUAUGUUAUGGCUUUCCCAAUUUGCAAGAAUGCAUCUUAAGACUCUCAUCACAAGGGAAUCAUUGCUGAUUCUAAGCAGUAUUGGAUAAAGAUGAGGCCAGACCACACUUCAGAAUUACUUCAACUUUGUUUUGUGAAAGGUUGAUUUAACAUCAGAUCAAGCAUCUCUUGAGAUGCUUUUCAUAAAUUUGAAGUUCUACCCAAAUAUCAUGUUUUGUGAUAAUCACAUGCCUUGUAAGUCAUGGAUUAUGUGCAUCAUGUAAGAUAUUAAACUUGUCAAGAUGUUGUUUUUAAUAUGUCUUUUAGUUAAGACCAUAUCUUGACAUGAAUUAUUCCUACCAUAGUCUCUCACACGCUGGUUCAGCAAGCAAUCAUCCACUGCAUCCAUCAUUUCUGUUGCUGCCUCACCAUAUGUCUCUGAGGGGGUAGAGGAGGGAAGUUUCCAGCUAAUCAUUUUUUUUGUAUUUGGUAUGCAAAUCACUUAAAACUGAAUGAUGUGGCAAUUUCAAACAGAAUUGUCCUAAGACUGCAGUUUGAGCAUUGAGUUGCUCGAUAGAUUCGCUAUUUCCUUGUUUUGUUUUGUUUUGUUUUUUGGUUGGAUCUUGGUUUUGUGGUUUUGUUUUGUUACCUUUUUUUGCAUCUUAACAAAAUUUAACAGCUAGAAAAGAAAAUUCUCAUGAUAGCGUCUAGCCUAUUUUCUCCUCAGAGAUAUCUUUGCAGAAAAAAAUUGGGUUUAUAUUAUCUUAGCAAGAGACUUCUGCUUUUAAUAUUUCAAACCUUCAUCUGCCCUUGGCUGCUAUGGCAUCCAUCUAUCUGACAAAACGGGGAAAAGAAAGUGCCAGUCAACGAGUGAAUGCUCCUUUAAGUAAACUUGUUAGCAAGGCAUAAUGACCCCUCCAGGGUCCUGUGACUCCUGCAGGCAAUGGGUGACAUGGUGCGGCCAGACUCAGGACAGGACUGGAACAAUGGAGCUUUUGCUUUAAGAACAAUCUGUUUUCAUCAGCCGUGAAUUAAUGCACAGAACAGUGGCACUGCGUAGGUUGCUCUUGGCUCUCUGAAGAUGCGUGUAAUGAGUGAAACAAUGGCUUGUUAAGUUUAAGAUUCAUUUUAUAACCCCAUGAAAAGCUCUGCUUACUGCUUCUCAAUACUGGGAGUUGUCCAGCUGCAAAUGCACAUCAGCAAUGUACUAAAGGCUCAAAUUCAGGACACACAGCAAAGCCUGAAUAAAAUCUUUACACACAACCA